rnacentral:rRNA from 1 species
AGUCAUAUGCUUGUCUCAAAGAUUAAGCCAUGCAUGUCUCAGUACAAGCCAAAUUAAGGUGAAACCGCGAAAGGCUCAUUAAAUCAGUUAUGGUUCCUUAGAUCGUACCAACAUUUACUUGGAUAACUGUGGUAAUUCUAGAGCUAAUACAUGCAAACAGAGUCCCGACCGGAGACGGAAGGGGCGCUUUUAUUAGAUCAAAACCAAUCGGUGGCGGGUUUAACCGCUCGUCAUCGCACAACCUGGUGAAUCUGAAUAACUUACUGCUGAUCGCACGGUCUCGCACCGGCGACGCAUCUUUCAAAUGUCUGCCUUAUCAACUGUCGAUGGUAGGUUCUGCGCCUACCAUGGUUGUAACGGGUAACGGGGAAUCAGGGUUCGAUUCCGGAGAGGGAGCCUGAGAAACGGCUACCACAUCCAAGGAAGGCAGCAGGCGCGCAAAUUACCCACUCCCGGCACGGGGAGGUAGUGACGAAAAAUAACGAUACGGGACUCAUCCGAGGCCCCGUAAUCGGAAUGAGUACACUCUAAACCCUUUAACGAUGAUCAAUUGGAGGGCAAGUCUGGUGCCAGCAGCCGCGGUAAUUCCAGCUCCAAUAGCGUAU